GUGCGUUAAGAAUGACCUUCAGCUGCCAGACCUUGCUUCUCUGGAUUAUAAUGAAAGAAAGAGGAAUCGAAUCAUCAAGCUACUUAUUCAGCGAUAYUUCUUCGAGCACAACAAAAAGCUUCAAGAGAUUUUGAAAGCACGAGAUUUAGAUAAACCAGUUCARAGUGAGUCACCACCCCUCACAAAUCAAACAAGUGCCUUUUAGUACAACGAAGUGAGAGUGAUGAAGUACGUAUCACUCUCGGCGCGGCUUGUACGGAURCUCUAUUUGUCUUAUUAGUACUAUGAUAAUUAUGAGACGAUACGAGCUGGUUAUGGAAUUAGACAAAUAUACACGUGGAAUAUAAUCGACAUUUGGCAGCCAAUUUGCAUAACUAUUGUUCURCACUAACUAGCGACUUUAAAAGCGUUUUCACAUGUAUGAGAGGCUAGUCAGUCGCAAGUCAAUGCAGAACAAUAGUUAUGCAAAUUGCUCGCCAUAUUUUGAUUCGGGGCUUUCACGUGGUGACAUAUAUCUAGGACCAACUGCAUGCUUAAAAAAAACGCGUUGCUCUUAAAUAAAACGAAAAAUGUUGUUCAAUGAUUUAUCCUCAACACAGAACAAUUACAACUUUGGUUUACAAUGAUAGUGCCACGAAAAAAAAACUGCUUUUCGUUUUAGAUCGGRCCUGGAAGUCGUUUUGACAUGCCAUUACUAGUUAGUCACACUUAAAAGCUUCGUUUACGAUGAAUCAAAAAGAUGUCAAUGAAAGAUCUAUUGUGAAUUAUUGCUAAGCUAUGAUUGGCACAGGUAAUUUCUAAUUAUGAUAUUCAAACAUAACACAGGUGUACAUGAAAAGGCCUAAAGAUUAAAACUAAAAGUAACAAGCGUAAAUGCCGGAUAGCGAAGAUUAUCGAAAAAGAUUUGGUAUAGGGAAUAGAACAAGGAAAACUUAGCAUACGAGAUAAAAAGCACUAGAGUGCGUCUAAAAGGUACUUUCAUUGGAGUUUACACCGCUUUAUAAAAUAGCUGMUGUAAAUAUCGCGUUCUGAUUGGUAGGGAGCGCGCUCUUUUUGAGAGCACACA